rnacentral:rRNA from 1 species
AGUCGACGGGAAUCUUCGGAUUCUAGUGGCGGACGGGUGAGUAACGCGUAAGAAUCUAACUUCAGGACGGGGACAACAGUUGGAAACGACUGCUAAUACCCGAUAUGCCGCGAGGUGAAACCUAAUUGGCCUGAAGAAGAGCUUGCGUCUGAUUAGCUAGUUGGUGGGGUAAGAGCCUACCAAGGCGACGAUCAGUAGCUGGUCUGAGAGGAUGAGCAGCCACACUGGGACUGAGACACGGCCCAGACUCCUACGGGAGGCAGCAGUGGGGAAUUUUCCGCAAUGGGCGAAAGCCUGACGGAGCAACGCCGCGUGAGGGAGGAAGGUCUUUGGAUUGUAAACCUCUUUUCUCAAGGAAGAAGUUCUGACGGUACUUGAGGAAUCAGCCUCGGCUAACUCCGUGCCAGCAGCCGCGGUAAUACGGGGGAGGCAAGCGUUAUCCGGAAUUAUUGGGCGUAAAGCGUCCGCAGGUGGUCAGCCAAGUCUGCCGUCAAAUCAGGUUGCUUAACGACCUAAAGGCGGUGGAAACUGGCAGACUAGAGAGCAGUAGGGGUAGCAGGAAUUCCCAGUGUAGCGGUGAAAUGCGUAGAGAUUGGGAAGAACAUCGGUGGCGAAAGCGUGCUACUGGGCUGUAUCUGACACUCAGGGACGAAAGCUAGGGGAGCGAAAGGGAUUAGAUACCCCUGUAGUCCUAGCCGUAAACGAUGGAUACUAGGCGUGGCUUGUAUCGACCCGAGCCGUGCCGAAGCUAACGCGUUAAGUAUCCCGCCUGGGGAGUACGCACGCAAGUGUGAAACUCAAAGGAAUUGACGG